rnacentral:misc_RNA from 1 species
AACGCACAUUGCGCCCGUCGGUAUUCCGGCGGGCAUGCCUGUUCGAGCGUCAUUUCAAACCAUCGAGAGGGAGCUGCUUUGGGAUCACGGUCCCCGGUAGACACCUCCGGCGUUGGGCUUAUGAGGUCGAUGUUGGGUGACUACUUUAAAAAGAGUCGCCCACGACCGGCCCUAAAUACGAUCAUCACUCGGUCGAGCUUGACUCGCGGCCCUGUAUCCUCCCCCACCUGGGAUCAAGACGGAGCGUAGUAACAAUAGUAUACCCGCCCCUAAGACCACCGGUGGAGGAGACGCUCUAGGCCCGAGUCGCGAUCGAAUGGGCGAAAGCCAAAUGGGGAACACCCUCGCCGCAAGGCGUAGAAUGUACCCACUGAAUUUCGGUUUGACCUCGGAUCAGGUAGGGAUACCCGCUGAACUUAA